rnacentral:rRNA from 1 species
AGUGAACGCUGGCGGUAGGCCUAACACAUGCAAGUCGAACGGCAGCACAGUAAGAGCUUGCUCUUACGGGUGGCGAGUGGCGGACGGGUGAGGAAUACAUCGGAAUCUACUUUUUCGUGGGGGAUAACGUAGGGAAACUUACGCUAAUACCGCAUACGACCUACGGGUGAAAGCAGGGGAUCUUCGGACCUUGCGCGAUUGAAUGAGCCGAUGUCGGAUUAGCUAGUUAGCGGGGUAAAGGCCCACCAAGGCGACGAUCCGUAGCUGGUCUGAGAGGAUGAUCAGCCACACUGGAACUGAGACACGGUCCAGACUCCUACGGGAGGCAGCAGUGGGGAAUAUUGGACAAUGGGCGCAAGCCUGAUCCAGCCAUGCCGCGUGGGUGAAGAAGGCCUUCGGGUUGUAAAGCCCUUUUGUUGGGAAAGAAAAGCAGCAGGUUAAUACCCCGCUGUUCUGACGGUACCCAAAGAAUAAGCACCGGCUAACUUCGUG